rnacentral:lncRNA from 1 species
CCCUCCACCACAUGCUUUCGUCUCUACAAUGUGCCUAUCGUCCCCGAUUAAGGUCCAAGAGGCAUUUGACAACUAUUAGGGUGAAUUUAGACAAAAUAAAAUAUAAUAGGCCCAACUGGACACCAAGUCAAACAAUUUGGAUGAGCUUUUAGCACGUAGAGUCUCAUAUUGGCCUCUAAAUUUUAUUAACAUGCUUGCAAACACACAUAAUCGGUGAAGGUCUCAUGCUAGGUGUGGCAUACAGACAUUAGCAUGGAAUUAAAAACUAAUUGCUUAAUUGAGAGACAGAAAAUUAUUACAGAAUGCAUAAAUAUAUUAAGCAUGAACGGAGCAGAGAAUAGCCACGUAUAAAUUAAUUUUAUUCAAUUGUAGCAGGCUAGAGAAAGCUAACUGAUUUAUUUUAAUUGGUAAAAGAUUAAUUGCAGUGCAGAUAUUAAUUAGUUACAGAUUUGAUUUUAAGUAGAAACAUGUGAACAGAAAUAUUGAAAAGCAAUGGAAGAUUUAACCAGGACAUAGGAUUUAAAUCGAAUUUUAACAUGCUUGAUUUAUUUGACUGGCAAGAAAAUAAUUUGUGUUGCAGGAAUCAUUAACAGUGAGCAGAAAGUAUACAAAAAAAUUUAAUUCAAUUAUUUAACAUGAUGAAACUGAUUAUAACAGGCUAAUUUAAGUAAUCUGAUUGACGUAAAUUUUUGAACAAAGAAUAAAACCAAAUUUACCACCUAUAGGCAUUAUCUCUACACCCCAAAUGACAUAUUUAAAGAUAUGUAACUACUGAUGGUAUCUGAGUGAUUAAAUGUCACACAUAUUUCAUACUUCUUAUAGCAUGAUUACUAAUCAAUUUGCGUGUUAGAAAAUAUUUAACCAUAAGACUUAAUAUAUGAAAAAUGAAUUAACAUGCCAACAUUAAUAUGCAACACAUAUAGACGUGAUUUAUUUUAGAUAACAUAUUAGAUUAUUUAUUAAAAUGCUGAUUUUUAUACUCCAGAAUAUACCCUUAGAUGACUUGCCAAAUUAAUUAUUACAUCCUAAACAAGAUCUUAAAGCACACUAACAUGCUAACAGUUUAUUAAUAGAGCAAUGAGUCAGAAUUUAUGCAACACUAGAUUGUAUGCAUGAAAUCUAAUUUUUUAUUUCUAAACAAAUAUUUGCUACGCUUUCUCGCAUGGGGAGCACUUAUUACACCCGUUGAUGUUACAUGAGACAAGUACAAGCCAAUGGUUGAUUUUAGACGAUUAUUUAAGAAAUAUUAUGACAUAUUUGAAUGCCUCUAGGAAUUUAAACAGGUAGAUUUAUAGCAAUCACACAUAAUAAUAUGAAAUAAACAAGUAAAACAGUUAGCACGCAAUUCCCCGCCCCCCCUUAAACGAUCCCCAAAUUAUUUCAUAUAUAGAGAGUUUAGAGUCAUAUAAAAUAUUACAAAAACCAAAAAAAAAAACGAAUAGUAAAUGACAUAACACAACCCAAAAUAAACUACUAAGCAGAAAUAGUUUCUAUCCGGUAACCCGCCCUAGACGACUCUUCAUGUCUUGAACUUUAUGUUCAACCCUGCUUAAAAAUAUACCAAAGGUGAAGACAAGAACAAUAAUUACGUAGAUAGAAACACAACAAUUAUUCAUAACAAACACAGAUUUCAGACAAGUCAUAAAACAUAUAAAAUCACAUACUGAGAAAGAAAGGAUAAAGAGACUAGUCCGGAUGUUUCCUUCUUAUUUAUUUCAAACAAUGCAACAAUAUUAAAUAAUCCAAAACGGAAAUUAAACUAAUGGAAAGCAACUAACCAAUUAGGCAGAAUAUUUUAUCAGCAAUGAAGUAUUUAGGAAGAUUUCCAAACCACAACAACAACACAGCAAAAGCGCAAAGAAUGAUCCAAAGCUUUACUAGAAUUCUUAUUAUUUAGAGAAGAGAGUAUCUAAGGUAUAUGUCUAAAUCUGAGAGUGUGUCCACCCGUGAGUAUGAGAGUGUGUUCGUCCCAAAAGUAGUGCAAAGAGGGUCCUUUUAUAGUGAGGGGAGGGGUCAACAGUAAAGGAAAAUAAUUAUUUUAGGGGUCAAUAUAAUAUUUUCCCUUUUUCAAAGGAGCCAAUUAUAACAUGCUUUCCUUAAACAAAAGGAGUAUAAAAUCAGUCCAAUAUUUAUUUAUUCUUUUUACCAAAUAUGAACAAGUAAGAAAUCUGUCAACUUUUCACAUAAGGAAAGAAAUUGUUACCGCUAAUCAAUUAAUCAGUCAAUUUUCCUUCUCUACAAAAUCAAUUAAUCAAUCACUAAAUCAUGCAACUAAAAUAAGGUAGCGCAAUCAAUCAGCGAGAUAAGAGAAUUAUUCUUACUUUUUUGCAAAAUCAAUUCAAUGUACUUACCGUAUAUACCCGAGCAUAAUAGCAAAAGGAACAUACAUUAAUAGAUUUUCCUAUUCAAUCGAGAGGUUCAACAUUUAUAAUACCAAAGAAUUAGAUACAACAAAAUUAGGAGCAGACCAUUAUAGCAAUGCAAAAUAUAGCAAUGAAGGUGUAGAAUUUUCAUGGGCCAAAUCCGGGCAUGCUUUCAAACUAUAGUUAUAAUUUGAUCAUACAUAUAAAAAAAUUUAAGCAAAUGAAGAACAUAGAUUACAAAAAUCAGCAGCUCCACACAUAAAUUAGGAUAUUGAAAUACUAAGGAUGAAACAAUUAACGGACUAAUCAUGCACACUUUAUGUUUAAUGGCAAGCACAAAUAUUUGAGUUUUAAGAUAAGGAAAAUCGUACCUGGGACUGAUCUGUGAAGAUCAGUUCUUUAAAAAAAAUCGUUUUUAGUUCCGAAUCCGAACAUUGGCAUCGACAAGUCCUUUUUGUUGCUUCUUCGUUCUUCGCCGGAGAAAGAAGGCGAGGGAGAGGGCGGCGCUGCCUGGUCGCUCACCGGAGAUGCUGCUGAUGUCCCGCCGAGCUGCUGCUGGUUGCUGUCCGGCUGGAGCUGCUGCUGGUUGCUGUCCGGCUGGAGCUGCUGCUGGUUGCUGUCCGGCUGGAGCUGCUGCUGGUUGCUGUCCGGCUGGAGCUGCUGCUGGUUGCUGUCCGGCUGGAGCUGCUGCUGGUUGCUGUCCGGCUGGAGCUGCUGCUGGUUGCUGUCCGGCUGGAGCUGCUGCUGGUUGCUGUCCGGCUGGAGCUGCUGCUGGUUGCUGUCCGGCUGGAGCUGCUGCUGUUGCUGUCGUGCGCCUACCCAGCUGCUGCUGCUUCGCCGGAAACUGCUGCCUGGUGGUUCGCCGGUCGCUGGUUGCUGCUGCUCCUCGCUGGACUGCUGUCUUCACUGGAAAAAAGAGAAUAGAGGAAGAGCAGCAACCUCGUUGUUGCUGCUGGCGGGGUGAGGAGAAAAAGGAGAAGAGACGAGGGGAGAGAGAGAGGGACGGCUGCCGCCAGCAGGUGGUGAUGAGUUUCACCGGAAAAAAAUGGAGAGGAGAGCUAAGGGAGGCGGCUGAUCUGUUGGAGAAGAGGAGGAUAGAGUGAAUAAAUUUUUAGGGCUUUGGGGAGGAAUUUUAGAGUAAAAUAGGAAGGUUAGGGGAUUUGAUCUUGACCGUUAAUUUUAGAAGGGAUAAGGGGCUAGGAUUAGAUCUAGGAUUUAAUUUAAAGAUGGACGGACAAGAUUAAAGUGAAUGGGUCUUGAAUCAGAUAGGAUUAAAAUUGGAAUGGCUAUAAUUGAAAUAAAAUUUGGCUAGAAUUGAAAUGAAAAGUGGAUAUAAUUGAAAUAAAAUUGGAAUUGAGUGGGUUAGAAUUGGAAUAAAUUGGAAUAAAAUGGGCUACAAUUUAAAUGAUUUUGAGGAAAGUUAAGGAAAUGCUAUUCAAUUAAUAAAAAAUACUACACAUAUUAAAAUAUCUUCAUAUAAUUAAAUAGAUCUAAGAUUUUAAAAUAUUUAAAUAAAGUAAUUAUUUCGAGUUUAACUAUCGAUAAUAUAAUAAUAAAAUAAUUUAAUAUUUUUUUACAAAUCAAGCUAACUAAAUAUAUAAUUUUUAGAUAAAAUUGGCUAAAAUUUUAAACUCGAAAUAUAUUUGAAAAUACGUAUUUAAUCGAAUAGCAUUUCCGAAAUUGGUUAUAGGUCGGUCAAAAUUGGGUGUUAACAGCUGCCCCUUGGUUGCUUGAUAAUGAAUGAUGAAUUGUCGGGCAACCAACGUUGACUUAGUAGCCGAUUUUGUCCGACCGACGAGAGAUGUCUGUGGGAUCAAUUCAAAUGACAUAGAGUUGAAAAAGGGUACGACCGAGACUUUGGUAUUAAGCCGCCUACAUAUCUCUGGUUAUACGAGAAUCAGGUCGUGUGUAGUUCUAGAUUCAGGAGCAAACGAAGCUCCUAAAAAUUGAAAGAGUGGUACGGUAUACGAACGAGAGUGAUUUUUUUUUUGGCUUGAAUGGAUUAGAGUAGCUAGAAGAGCAUGACGGAGCGAUUUCCAGUUCAGGAGAAAGGAUCAAAUGAAAAGCAGUGAAACGAGUAGCAAAUGAUUGAAAGGGCCUUUGUUGCGAUAGGUAUGAGCCUGAUAAUCGUAGCUGAGAGGAUGAUCGAUCUUGCCUACAAUUUCUAAUAUGACUAGAUAGAAUGUUAGCUUAUAAAAUACAAAAAAGUGUGAACCAACAUAAUAAAUAAUAAUGACAAGAGGUGAUAGGAAGACAUAUCCGUUUUGAGAAAUAUAGCGCAAACCCUGAUAAACUUUGGCUUAACUUCUUGAAGAAUUGCGAUCCAUCUCCAAAGAAUAAUGUUAACCCGAGCACCAUAUUGUAAGGCGGAAGAUCCUAAAUGUCCUAUUGUAAGGCGGACGAGCCUAAAUGUCCUAUUGUAAGGCGGACAAGCCUUAAUGUCGUAUUGUAAGGCAGACGAGCCUGGUGCAGUAUUGUAAGGCAGACGAACCUAAGUGUCGUAUUGUAAGGCAGACGGGCCUAUGUCUUAUUGUAAGGUAGACGAACCUAAUGUCGUAUUAUAAGGCAGACGAGCCUGAUGCCGUAUUUUAAGGCAGGCGAGUCUGACGUCCUAUUGUAAGGCAGGUGAACCUAAUGUCGUAUUGUAAGGCAGACGAACCUGUGAUGUUCGGUAGGUCACAAUAGCAAGUUGAUAAUAGCAUCUUCAAAAUAGUUAAGUAGUAGCUUGAUAGUAGCUCCUUAUGUCAAAUCUAUUCCUGCAUCCAGAGAAAAAUCGUGAAUUUGAAAAACAAGAUUGGAUCAUACCUAUGUUUGCUUUGAUUUCGGAAUUGCACUCCAUUGUGAUGAAAGUUUUUGAGGAUUUCAAAAAUUUCUGCCCCAGUUUAGAGUAUAAGAUAUAUACUCACCUUCUUAAAUAUUGUCUGAAAUUUUUGAGGUUCCCUCAAAAAUUCUGCCCAGUUUCAUUUGUAAGGACUUUGUGAUCCUGCUUCACUCAAAGAAAAUUAUUAGUUCAAUAAGAAAAGUGAUUGUCUUAUAUUUGGACACUACGCUCGACUUCGAAUCUGAACGUCAAUUAUGUUCAAGGUUGGAUCAAUUAGCCCUGAAUUCGAAUUUGGAGAAGAAUGUCUUGAAUGACCAUGAGAAAAAAAAUAAAUUUAUUUGAUAAAGACCGGACCCAUCAAAGGGUUGCCUAUGUAUCCAAAAGAAAAUCAGGUCAAACGUAGUUCAGGAUUCAGGAGCAAACAAAACUCCUAAAAACUGAAAGAGCGGUACGGUAUUCGAACGAGAGUGAUAUUGGCUUGAAUGGAUAGGAUUAGAGUAGCGAGAAAAGAACGACAGAGAGAUUUCUGGUUUAAAAGCGAGGGAUCCGAUGAAGUGGUAAUAUAAGUAGCCAAGGGUUAAAUGAAAGACGGUAAUAUGAGUAACAAAGAAAUUGAUAUGGCCUUUGUUGCGAUAGAUGUAAGCACGAUAAUCGUAGCCGAGAGGUAAAAUGUCUUAUCUGCAAAAAUGUUAGUCUCUGCAAAUCUGUAGCUUGUAAUAUGACUAAAUAAAGUGAUUAGAGUAGAUAUAUCAAAUAAACGAUAAAGGUAAACAUGAUGCAAUUUCCCAUAUCGACAAUGAUGUUUGCCAUAAGACUAUGAAGAUGAUGUCUUAGGCUAUGAUGUCUAGGGCCAUGAUACGCAAAAUUAUAUCCUCAGGAAAAUGUUGUCUGCGGGCCAUGAAAAAUGAUGCCUUUAGACUAUGACACCUUUGGAUCAUGAUAAGCAGAAAGUAAAUCCUUAGGCCAUGAUAUGAUGUCCGCAGGCCAUGAAAGAUGCCUUUAGACCAUGACGCCUUCAGAAUAUAAGUAAUGAGUAAAGAAAGCGUAUCUGUAAUUCGGCCAUCUGUUGACACUUGUAGCUUGUUUGGAGUUUAUUCGGAUAUAUGUAAUUCUUGAGCACAAUCCAAUCUCGGGUACAUGGAAUUCGGGCUCAUGCGAUGAUAUAAUUCUCAGGCACAUGCAAUAUCGGGCACAAUGCAAUCUCGGGCUCAAUGCAAUCUCUGGCACAAUGCAAUAUCAGGCACAUGCAAUCUCAGGCACAUGCAGAUGAUGUAAUUCUCGGGCACAUGCAAUAUCGGGCACAAUGCAAUCUCGGGCUCAAUGCAAUCUCUGGCACAAUGCAAUAUCAGGCACAUGCAAUCUCAGGCACAUGCAGAUGAUGUAAUUCUCGGGCACAUGCAAUAUCGGGCACAAUGCAAUCUCGGGCUCAAUGCAAUUCGGGCUCAAUGAAAUCUCGGGCUCAAUGCCGUCUUCGGGCACAUGCAAUCAUCGGGCAUAUGCAGUCAUCGGGCACAAUGCAAUCUUCGAGCUCAAUGCAAUCUCGGGCUCAAUGCAAUCUCGGGCUCAAUGCCGUCUUCGGGCACAUGCAUAAUAGUCAAUUGAGGACAUAAAAUAUCUUGGACCUUCGCCUUGUUAGAAGGGUCGAGUGUCGUUUGUUGACAAUUUUCGAGUUCAGAAUAUUGUAGCUUUCACCCUUCGUCCUAUUGUAAGGAGUGGGUGUAGUUGAAUGUUGAUUUGCCGGGCUUGAUAUGGAGUAGUCUGAUCCUUUUGUCUGAUUAGAAGGAUAGGGUAUCAUUGAUUGACGAUUGUCGGGCUCAAAAUAACUUGGUCCUUUAUCAUGUCGGAAGGAUAGUAUGCCAUUUGACUGGUGAUUUGGGCUCAGUACAGAGUAGUUUGGUCCUUCCCAUUGUUGGAAUGUCAAUGUGUCAUUUGUUGGUGAUUUUCGAGCUCUGAAUAAUGUAGCUUCAUCACUCUUCCUAUUGAAAGGACGGAAUGCCAUUGAUUAGCAGAUUGUCGGAUAUAUCGACACAUUGAUCCUUCAAGUGGUGUUGAAGUUGCUUCUUGUAUAUGCACCUGUCUUUUCUGCAUUCAAAGAAAAAUAAUUAGUUAAAGGGGAAGUUGAUCUGUAUCCCCGAUUCGGCAGAAUAUGCUCCUCUGAUGUCUGCUCGUAUGUCCUUUGUAAUGUUGUCGAAAAUUUUGAGGUCCUCCUCAAAAUUUUCUGCCCCAGUAUAGAAUUUUUGAUUUUGGACGUAGACUGUAGCUUGAUUGUUGUGAAAUUUUGAGAUCCUCUCAAAAUUCUGUCCCAGUCUUGAUUUGCAACAAAAUAUGUUUUUGAAGGAAUUUUUGAAACCCUUUAAAAAAUUCUUCCCCAGUUAUUAAUUUGCGCGAAGAAAUGCUUUUGCAGGAAUUUUGAGUUCCCUGCAGAAAAUUCUGCUUCAGUAUCAUCACUUGCAAGAAAAUGUCUUUCUGAUGGAAUUUUUGAGACCCUCUCAAAAAUUCUUCCCAGUUAGCAGUCAAAGGGAAAAUGGAAUUUUUAUUAUGAUAUGACCGAACUCCAUAGGAGCGCCUACGUAUCCCCUCUUAAACGGGAAUCAGGUCUGACGUAGUUCCAAAUACAGAGAGCAUAAUUCAAGACAUUAAACAGAGCAUAUAGCCACAACCAAAAGAUAGAUUCUGACCAAACUUUAUUGCCCAUAUGCUAACAUGGGUACCUUCCUUGUCAGAACUUGACGAAACAUGAAUGUAGAGAACUUAAGCUUAAAUGGCAUAAGCUUUUAUUGGAAAGUGCUUCAAAUGACCUUCAACAUGUUUUCUGUUGGGAUUUCUUUGGUGCAAAGUCCUCCAAGCAUAUGAUCUUGGUAUCAAUCAAUUGAUGAAUCUUGUCUUUCAGAUCACGACAUUCUUCUAUGGUAUGUCCUUUUAUCCCUGAGUGAUAAGCGCAAACCUUAGAGCGUUCAAUCUACCUAGCACGUGUACUCAUCCUUAUUUCACUGAUAGGAGCGAUAUGACCAGCAAGCCUAAACUUUUCAUAGAAUUGAUCUAUAGGCUCCGUCAAAGGAGUGUAAAUUUUGAUGGGCCUUUUCUCAACAUUGAAUAGAUUUUUGCAAAUAUGUUUUUGAGUGAGGAUUUUGACAUUGUGAACAGGAUAAAUGGGCUUUUGAUAUGGAGGCAUUUGAUAUGGUAUGAGCGGCGCACAAUACCAAGGGACUUGGUGUAGAGGUGUUUGAUAUUGAGGAGCUUGUAAGGGAGGACUCGGUAGACUCGGAGUAAGAUACGGAGGUCUGGAAGCAUAAGCAUGAUGUUGAGGAGGAUAUGGGUAAUUUGGAAAGUGAGUGUUCUUUGGAGGCAUUUGAAUGGAGCUUGGUUGAUUUUGAGAAGUGGGGUAAGUUGGUGGAGGAUGAGAAAUAGGGUGAGUGAGUGGAGGAUUAUCUUAGAGAGUAGCUUGACUUGUGACAGGCGACUUAUCUAUGUUUGUCUCCAGAGUGGGAUCGACAGAGAGUAACAUCUUGGCCCACCCGCGCAUAUCAGACACUUCUUCUUCUAAUUCCUUUAUUUUCUUUUUCCGGCUUGAGACCAACUUGUCUGAAGGAUGCUUCUUUUCAAUAGUCUUACUCAUAACCUUCUCAUUAGUAACUUUCCUCUUCCCUUUGCGGUUCUCAUUUGGAAGAGAAGGAAAACCGUCAUUUGAUCGUGUGUGGUAACCCAUGGUCUACAGAUCAACCAUUGGGGAAGGGUAAAAAAUAAAAAUAAAAACAAAAACAAAAGAAAACCCAAGUUAGAGUGUUGCAUUAAUUGAGAUAGAAAGCACACUGCUUUAAGAUAAACGCCCUAAAUGCAAGGAGCCUCGUUGAGCCAGAGGUAGGCCUAAGACGACAUAUAAGUGAUGCACAAUAAUUAAUUCAAGUCUUAUUUUCCAAUUUGGAAUUUAGAUUAAAGGAAAUAAACAAACUUUAUUUAUUAUAAAAUCCGAACAAAACAUAAUAAUUGGAAAACAAAAAAAAAUGAAAUAAACUAAGGGAAAGGGGUAACAAAUGGGAAAGUCAUCCUAAAUUCUGAAAAUCUUGAAGAUAUUGGUUCCAAGAGCUUGGCGCUAAUUGACUUCUUCUAUAGGGAGUGACUUCAUUCUUGAUCUUCAAUACGUUGCGUGCCCAUAUGUUUUCCCUUUCAUCAGUGAGCCCAUAGUAUCCUUCCCCAUUCACUUCUCUAUCUUUGACCUCCAUUAGGAUCCAUAUGUAGUACUCGCGUCUGCAUAAGGCCUGUGGUGCACCCAUAGGAAUGGUUAACACUCGCUCCCAUCUUCGAAGUAUGAUGUGGGCUUGUGGUUUAUCUAAUCCAAAUUCAUACUUAAACUGCUCCAUGUCAGACCGGAGUGGUAUUACCUGAGUUCGCCCAAAUUAGCGGAGUACUCGAAGAGGAGUGUAUGGUUGAACGCCAUUUAAGUCAAUAAGCUCAACGAAGCAUCGGUCAUCGCCUCUUACUAUUGCAUGAGGGGUGGACAACCAAUGGAGCUUCCAUUGGAUGUGGCGACUCUCGAGCUCUGUUAAAAAUAUUUGCCAGUCCACGAAUCCUGCGGGGGCGGUGAAAGCUAACAUUCUUCUUGGAUGAUUACCAAUCUUGUUGCCAUAACCAAGAAAGAUGUCUAUCGCGUCAGAGCGUAUGUAGAAGUGUUCAAUAGCCCAUAAUUGCUGCAAAAUGUUGCAUCCCUCGAAAAACAUUCGACCAUCGACGCAUGCUGACAGACUCCUCAUUAUUUCCGCCAAGAUCAUGGGUAUUAGGGUUUUCCUAGGUUCGCCCUCUCUUGGGGCUAAAUCUCGAACCACAUAACCCAAGCGUGUGUCAAUCUUUCCCCUUAUCUUAGGAAAAACCAGGGAUCCUAAUAAGGCAAUGACAAAGGCAUUUAGGCAAUAUGUUUCCCAUUCCUCGAUGGAGCAUUCAAACUCAUCAAUAAAAGAGUAAUAACUAUCAUCUUGGCCAAAACGUGAAUACAGAAAGUCGAAAUGAAUCCACCCAAGGUCUAGAUAAAGCAAGGUUGGAUUUGACUUCAUUCCCAGACUUUUUAGAAACUCCCUCGAUGAUGGCUUAUAGGGUACCAUUAUUUCACACUCGUGGUAUGGCAGGUCUAUGAAACCACUUAUCUCCUCAAUCGUUGGCGUCAAGUUGAAAUCCACGAAUUUGAAAACUAUCCUCACAGGGUCCCAAAAUUCUAGCAAGGCUCUAAUCAAGUGAGGGUUUGGUAUCACAAAGAUGCGGUAGGUAAGACCGCCCAACAACUGCCGAAUCUCUCUUUCACGGUCUCUCUUGAUAUCCAUCCACCAGUUCCUUAACUUGUAGUUUACAUCUAUGACCAUUUGCGGAUUUUGGGAGUUGAAAAUAUCCAUGACUCUGCAAACAAAACAACAAACUAUUUCUAAACUCCAUUUUGGCAAAUUUGGCUUAAUUUAAUUAUUAUGACCACAUUGACACAUAAUUAUGCAAUUUGUCUAAAGGGUGUUGGGGCCCUUUAGACGAUAAGGUGGCUACUAAUCAUGCGGAUUGACACCAAGGGUCAAACCACCUAGGGCUUAUGCAACAUGUAUGACCUAAGUAAGCUUUCUAAGAGUUGGCUUGACACGGACUUGAAAUGGGUUCUAUGCGAGAAGGCUCGUGGUUUCCCGGUAGUAAGACUAUCCGUUCCAUCCACGCAUAUGCCGACUCUCUAUAAUUGGGUGUUUUGAAGAGAAAUCGAGUAGUUGUGAGAGGUGCAAAGGCACAACAUCACGGUAACAAAAUAAAAAAAGGAAGAGGGUCCCAAUUGGGGGAAGUAUGAGCGGAAUGCCAGUUAUCAAAGCAGUAACAUUUAGCAUUUAGGUUAAAAGCGAUAACAUAUGGACAAUUUUAAGGAACAGUAAAUAAAUAAAUAAAUACAAAAAUAAGCAUGCAAACACAUAAAUAAAUCAAGCAAAUAAGGAAAGGAAAUAAGGUUUAAACAUGAAGUACACAAAAAUGGGGAAAAGGGAAAGGGCGAAACACGAGAAUAAUCAAAUAAGGGAGAGGGAAAGGGACUAAACAUGGAAAUAACAAUAUUUAAGGAAAGCGAGUAAACAAUGAAAGCAAAAAUUAAUUAGACAUGGGAAUAACCAAACAAACAAUGAAAUGACAGAUAAAGUAAACCCCACAUAAGCACGAAACACGUAAUGGUUAGAACCUAAUAUCCCCAGCGGAGUCACCAUUCUGUCGCACCCCGUUUUUCGCAAAAUGAACUUUCCUUUCGGAUGCACGACCUAACAACUCUUUUGGGCUUUUGANNNNNNNNNNNNNNNNNNNNNNNNNNNNNNNNNNNNNNNNNNNNNNNNNNNNNNNNNNNNNNNNNNNNNNNNNNNNNNNNNNNNNNNNNNNNNNNNNNNNNNNNNNNNNNNNNNNNNNNNNNNNNNNNNNNNNNNNNNNNNNNNNNNNNNNNNNNNNNNNNNNNNNNNNNNNNNNNNNNNNNNNNNNNNNNNNNNNNNNNNNNNNNNNNNNNNNNNNNNNNNNNNNNNNNNNNNNNNNNNNNNNNNNNNNNNNNNNNNNNNNNNNNNNNNNNNNNNNNNNNNNNNNNNNNNNNNNNNNNNNNNNNNNNNNNNNNNNNNNNNNNNNNNNNNNNNNNNNNNNNNNNNNNNNNNNNNNNNNNNNNNNNNNNNNNNNNNNNNNNNNNNNNNNNNNNNNNNNNNNNNNNNNNNNNNNNNNNNNNNNNNNNNNNNNNNNNNNNNGGAGACUCUGAAGGACUUUUAGGAUCAGCACUCGACUUUGUUUAUUUCGGUCGUUUUCUCGUAGGGACAGACAAAACAAAGGUUUGUCAUUUAGACCGAGUCGAUGUCAUCAUCUCCGUUGGGCCUAAACUACCCCUACCCCUCCACCGCAUGCUUUCGUCUCUACAAGGUGCCUAUCGUCCCCGAUUAAGGUCCAAGAGGUAUUAGACUGCUAUUAGGGUGAAUUUAGACAAAAUAAAAUAUAAUAGGCCCAACUGGACACCAAGUCAAACAAUUUGGACGAGCAUUUAGCACGUAGGGUCACAUAUUGACCUCUAGAUUUUAUUAACAUGCUUGCAAACACACAUAAUUGGUGAAAGUCUCAUGCUAGGUGUGGCAUACAGACAUUAGCAUGACAUUAAAAAGUGAUUGCUUAAUUGAGAGACAGAAAAUUAUUACAGAAUGCAUAAAUAUAUUAAGCAUGAACGGAGCAGAGAAUAGCCACGUAUAAAUUAAUUUUAUUCAAUUGUAGCAGGCUAGAGAAAGCUAACUGAUUUAUUUUAAUUGGUAAAAGAUUAAUUGCAGUGCAGAUAUUAAUUAGUUACAGAUUUGAUUUUAAGUAGAAACAUGUGAAC